AAUAGAUACCCAGGUAGUCCACGCCCUAAGCGAUGCGAACUGGAUGUUGGGUUCAACUUGGAACCCAGUAUCGAAGCUAACGCGUUAAGUUCGCCGCCUGGGGAGUACGGUCGCAAGACUGAAACUCAAAGGAAUUGACGGGGGCCCGCACAAGCGGUGGAGUAUGUGGUUUAAUUCGAUGCAACGCGAAGAACCUUACCUGGUCUUGACAUCCACGGAACUUUCCAGAGAUGGAUUGGUGCCUUCGGGAACCGUGAGACAGGUGCUGCAUGGCUGUCGCCAGCUCGUGUCGUGAGAUGUUGGGUUAAGUCCCGCAACGAGCGCAACCCUUGUCCUUAGUUGCCAGCACGUAAUGGUGGGAACUCUAAGGAGACCGCCGGUGACAAACCGGAGGAAGGUGGGGAUGACGUCAAGUCAUCAUGGCCCUUACGACCAGGGCUACACACGUACUACAAUGGUGGGGACAGAGGGCCGCAAUCCCGCGAGGGUGAGCCAAUCCCAGAAACCCCGAUCUCAGUCCGGAUCGGAGUCUGCAACUCGACUCCG
rnacentral:rRNA from 1 species